CGCAGCUCCCGGAGAGGGGUGGAGCCGAGCCAAGCGGAGGCGGAACUAGAGCGAGGAUCCCGUGGGACCCGCUCGUCGGCUGGGGGCGGAGCUCCAUUUACCCACAUCCGGCGGAGGGGGUCGUGAGGUUCUUGAAAAGGCAGCUUGGGGGAGGCUUCCAUCAAGAUGUCGGAAUAGAAGGACAGGGGAGAUCACCUCCUCUCACGGGUACAUCAAAAAUACAUCUGCAUCUGAAACAAUUCUCACAGAAUACCUGCUGAACGCUGGCAAAACAGCUCAAACACUCCAAAUCACAAGAAAGAUCUCCACGUGACCAGGGCGGGCUUCGAGAAAUUACUUCUAAGUUCAGGAGAGCGCGGUGGCUGCAGGCCUUCGGAGAGGAUCUGCCUGGGGCUUUUCGGAUCAUUUUUGCGACCUGCGUGCUGCACUUGGUAUCCUGUUGUUCAGGGGCCGGCCUUCUUCUUCGCCUUUAAGCCUUUUUAAGCCUUUAAGCCACAAUGAUAACCUUUUUUCCACUGAGAAAAAGUGAUCGAGAGGUGGGUUUCAAAUUUUGGCCGACACUAACCAGACUCGAGAGAUAAACACUCAGCUUACCACGAUUCCUACAAACUCCCUGACUUGACUUGGCACACGGGGCAGGGCCGAGGUUUUCUUUUUCCGUUUGCACAACCCCCCGGCUCGCAGGUUGCGGAGAUGACCUCUUCCCAGCGCUGUCCUUCUGCUGUUCCAGCCAGGGCCGCCACCGGGACCUCCGCGCUCUCCGCCCCGGCCUCCCAGGUUCGUGUCCCCAGGCGCGAGGCCGUCCCUCGCCGGGCCGCCUUCCCAGUCCUCGGCUCCCCGCGGAGGAAAUUCUUCCCCAGCAGCCCAGGGCUCGCCUCACGUGAUCAGCAGCCGCCGCGGCUUCCAGCGAGAGUUUAAAGGUUACGGAGGAAAUCAGCACGGACACAGACCCUCGCCCCUCGGAGGACGCACCCCGUUUACGCGCAUCUGGGACGGCCGCUGUCAGCGCGCUGAUCAGAGCCCAGAAGGGCACAGGCAAGGUCCAGAGUAAAUAUGAAGUCACUUCGUAAAAUAUAAACAAACACACAAACCGAGCCAGGGUGCUACUAAGCUUUCACUUGUCAACAAGUUUCUCAAAGCCCAAUAAGUCUGGGACAGACCCCCCAAAGGGAGAAUGCCCCCAAAGAAAGGGAAGAGAGAAUAAAUGUUUUAAAACUCAUACGGAGCCUUGCACGCCCCUCCCUUUCCCCCUUCCCCCACCACCGCGGAGCAGAGCGUCUCCGGACAGAAUGACAGACAGACCGACCAAUACUCCGCAGGCUGCCCUUGCCAGCCACGGUCCGAGGAGGGGUGGGGCCGGGGGAGGGUCCCGAGU